rnacentral:lncRNA from 1 species
GCCUUUCCUGCCUUUGGACAGGCCACUUGAGGUCAUGAGGCAUGGGGAAGUGACACCAAUUAUCAUGUCAACUACCAUCCUGACGUUGUUUCUCUUCUGAACUGAUCCUGAAACUGAGCCUAUCCAGACUGAAGAUUAGGAAACUGAGUCAUCGGGGACUAUCUUGUCCAAGGUUAUACUGCUGGCACGUUGAUGAACCAAGACAGUCUGGCUCCAGAAUGAUGCUUCUAAACUCCAGGUGUUUAUACAUAUAAAC